AUUGAACGCUGGCGGCAGGCCUAACACAUGCAAGUCGAACGAGUGGCGGACGGGUGAGUAAUGUAUGGGAAACUGCCUGAUGGAGGGGGAUAACUACUGGAAACGGUAGCUAAUACCGCAUACCAUCGGAUGUGCCCAGCUGGGAUUAGCUAGUAGGUGGGGUAACGGCUCACCUAGGCGACGAUCCCUAGCUGGUCUGAGAGGAUGACCAGCCACACGGGAACUAGUACACGGCCCAGACGCCGACGGGAGGCAGCAGUGGGGAAUAUUGCACAAUGGGCGCAAGCCUGAUGCAGCCAUGCCGCGUGUAUGAAGAAGGCCUUCUGGUUGUAAAGUACGUUCAGCGGGGAGGCGUUACCCGCAGAAGAAGCACCGGCUAACGCCGUGCCAGCAGCCGCGGUAAUUC
rnacentral:rRNA from 1 species